UGAAUUCUGGUUUACGGGCGCACAUGAGUUGGUUGAACAAAUUCAAAUGAAUCGUCUCGUUUAGUCGUAGCUACUUGUCUUCCUACAAACAGCUAUUCAAAAUGAACAUAUCAGAAAAUGGAGCAGUAGGCGAUGCCAUUACAGUGCACGAUUUCUCAGAGAAGAUUCUGGCGCAAACGGUUCACUUUCACGUCAUGAAACUCAAUGUUUUUUUUCUUCCUUUGGGUCGGCUCGAACCCCGUCUUGUCCAACAUGGCUGUUUCAGUGGAAAGUAAAUUUGAUUCGAUGCCGCUGUCUACCUUAGUCCUGGGGGACCCAUCUGAAACCACCUAGAAUUCACUGGCGCAGAGAUUGACUCAUGAAACAUGGGACCAACACUGGUGUUUCUACAGUCUUUUCAGAAAACUUGGGACAAAUAAAAUCACCUGAGGCCGUCAAUGUAAGGUGUGUAUUAAUCAUUUGUAUGUUAGAGUAGUUUGUAUACAAACAUACUCUAAGUCACAGCUGUUCUAACUAGAUCACACUAUUGUACUAAGCUAAUAAACUAGACACUAACCAUUUCAAAACCCCGAUAGACAUUGUGCUUCGUGGCAUGGCCAGCCAUUAUUUAACCGUGCUAAAGAGACAGGUUGAAACAAGUCCUAAAAACAGCAAUAUACUACUAAAAUUAUUUACCACAGUGUUGAGAACAGGGACAGGAAAGGUCAGAAUUAGCAAAAUUAAAGAGGUAUUUCAAGCAACAAGAAUGC